AUGUUUCAUUAACAUGAAAAUUGGAAUGAUACAAGAAUAACAUGGCCUUGUCCAAGGAUGACAUGCACAAAUCGAGAAAUGAUCCAAAUUUUU
rnacentral:snRNA from 1 species